CGAGCCCAAAGUCUCAGUGUCUUCUAAUCACCUUGGACAAGUGGUCAUUAACGUCACUGAUUUCUUCCAAAGAGGCGAAAAUCUUCCAAUCGGACGGUACCUUUGAUGUGAAACUUUGACUAUCGCGUCCCCCAAGAUCCCCAGAUCCGAAUGCACAAGUUGAAUUAGAACUUCAUCACGUCUGUGAAGGAAGGGAGCGCUGUUUUCCUAAACGACCAAUCGUGGGACUCGGUAUUCAGGAAUACAAGAUGACUCGGAACAUGGAUUUGGCAGAUAACUGAUGCACCCAAGGGAAUAUCCUUCGACCCAGAGCAUAGUCUAAUAGGCUACACCUUGCAAGAGUCAGCAAUCCAGGCACAAGACCCCAAUUACAAACCAUGCUGGGCAAAGCAUCAAGAAAUAGAAAUGGAAACCACGUGUAAUACUGAGGAGACAGAUGACGAUGGAUCCACUUUCAGCUGGGCUGCCAGAGAUGAUAACAAGAAUGAAGUUAAGAAACACCUCGACUCCAAAAAAAGAUGGUAAAAACGGUAAUGUGAUCUCUGCAAAAAACUUGGAAGGAAAAAUUCUCCCAGUCAUCAUAAAUGAGAAAGGACGUACACAUACAGUAGAACUGAUUUUAGAAAAUACAGACAUUGAAAUAAGUCGAAGUGGAACAAAUACUUAGGCUAAGGCUGACCUCAACCUCUCUCCUGUUUCAACAGCAGCAAAAAACGGACAUCAUUGAUUAUGUUCUUAUACUUUUAUUGAGAGGAAGGCCAGAGAUUCAGACAAAACAGGGUUUCUCUCCCCCUAGAAUAUCAUCGAACAACAUGAGAAUAUUCUUUAGCAAUUGAGUAGGAUUAUAUAUUGAGACAAUGGAAAUUCAGGCUGCCUCUCCUCUUUUAAAAGCAUCAGAAAAUGGACAAGAGAUUGUUGUAAAACGUCUAUUAGAUAGAGGUGCAGAGAUUGAGACAAAGACAAACCA